CACAGAUGACGACCGGCGCACGGGUGCGUAACGCGUAUAGAACCUACCUUUUACAGAGGAAUAGCCUUUAGAAAUGAAGAUUAAUGCCUCAUGGUAUUGUAGACUGGCAUCAGUUUAUAAUUAAAGAUUUAUCGGUAAAAGAUGGCUAUGCGUCCUAUUAGUUAGUUGGUAAGGUAACGGCUUACCAAGACAGCGAUAGGUAGGGGUCCUGAGAGGGAGAUCCCCCACACUGGUACUGAGACACGGACCAGACUCCUACGGGAGGCAGCAGUGAGGAAUAUUGGACAAUGGAGGAGACUCUGAUCCAGCCAUGCCGCGUGUAGGAAGAAUGCCCUAUGGGUUGUAAACUACUUUUAUACAGGAAGAAACACUGGUAUGUAUACCAGCUUGACGGUACUGUAAGAAUA
rnacentral:rRNA from 1 species